rnacentral:rRNA from 1 species
UAAGUCGGAUGUGAAAUCCCUGAGCUUAACUUAGGAAUUGCAUUCGAUACUGGGAAGCUAGAGUAUGGGAGAGGAUGGUAGAAUUCCAGGUGUAGCGGUGAAAUGCGUAGAGAUCUGGAGGAAUACCGAUGGCGAAGGCAGCCAUCUGGCCUAAUACUGACGCUGAGGUACGAAAGCAUGGGGAGCAAACAGGAUUAGAUACCCUGGUAGUCCAUGCCGUAAACGAUGUCUACUAGCCGUUGGGGCCUUUGAGGCUUUAGUGGCGCAGCUAACGCGAUAAGUAGACCGCCUGGGGAGUACGGUCGCAAGACUAAAACUCAAAUGAAUUGACGGGGGCCCGCACAAGCGGUGGAGCAUGUGGUUUAAUUCGAUGCAACGCGAAGAACCUUACCUGGUCUUGACAUAGUAAGAACUUUCCAGAGAUGGAUUGGUGCCUUCGGGAACUUACAUACAGGUGCUGCAUGGCUGUCGUCAGCUCGUGUCGUGAGAUGUUGGGUUAAGUCCCGCAACGAGCGCAACCCUUAUGUUUAGUUGCCAGCAUGUAAUGGUGGGGACUCUAAACAGACUGCCUGUGCAAACAGAGAGGAAGGUGGGGACGACGUCAAGUCAUCAUGGCCCUUACGUCCGGGGCUACACACGUGCUACAAUGGAUGGUACAGCGGGCAGCUACAUAGCAAUAUGAUGCUAAUCUCUAAAAGCCAUUCACAGUUCGGAUUGGGGUCUGCAACUCGACCCCAUGAAGUUGGAUUCGCUAGUAAUCGCGUAUCAGCAAUGACGCGGUGAAUACGUUCCCGGGCCUUGUACACACCGCCCGUCAAGCCAUGAAAGUUGGGGGUACCUAAAGCAUGUACCGAAAGGAGCGUGUAGGUAAACCGAAGUGAU